CGUAGGUGCCGCCGGCGUGUACGUCUUUUUCCAUCUUUGCACGUUUGCUAGGCGGGAUUCUAUAAACCUGGAGAGUAAUCCUAAGAAAAAUCAUCAGAAGAAAGGAAUUUGUAGAACUAAAACUGCAAACAUCCAGAAUCUUGAUGGUGUGCCAAGCCAAAUGUCAACUGGAACUCAACCAAAAACUAAAGUAAGUUUUAGUUUUCUUACAUAUGCCCCUGGUGUGAGUGUCCUGCUCUGUUCAUACAGUGUAAUUCACCAAGGUAAAAACAGCACCAUGUUC
rnacentral:lncRNA from 1 species